rnacentral:rRNA from 1 species
GCGGACGGGUGAGUAACGCGUGGGUAACCUGCCCUGUACACACGGAUAACAUACCGAAAGGUAUGCUAAUACGAGAUAAAAUGCUUUUAUCGCAUGGUAGAAGUAUCAAAGCUUUUGCGGUACAGGAUGGACCCGCGUCUGAUUAGCUAGUUGGUAAGGUAACGGCUUACCAAGGCGACGAUCAGUAGCCGACCUGAGAGGGUGAUCGGCCACAUUGGAACUGAGACACGGUCCAAACUCCUACGGGAGGCAGCAGUGGGGAAUAUUGCACAAUGGGCGAAAGCCUGAUGCAGCAACGCCGCGUGAGCGAUGAAGGCCUUCGGGUCGUAAAGCUCUGUCCUCAAGGAAGAUAAUGACGGUACUUGAGGAGGAAGCCCCGGCUAACUACGUGCCAGCAGCCGCGGUAAUACGUAGGGGGCUAGCGUUAUCCGGAAUUACUGGGCGUAAAGGGUGCGUAGGUGGUUUCUUAAGUCAGAGGUGAAAGGCUACGGCUCAACCGUAGUAAGCCUUUGAAACUGGGGAACUUGAGUGCAGGAGAGGAGAGUGGAAUUCCUAGUGUAGCGGUGAAAUGCGUAGAUAUUAGGAGGAACACCAGUUGCGAAGGCGGCUCUCUGGACUGUAACUGACACUGAGGCACGAAAGCGUGGGGAGCAAACAGGAUUAGAUACCCUGGUAGUCCACGCCGUAAACGAUGAGUACUAGCUGUCGGAGGUUACCCCCUUCGGUGGCGCAGCUAACGCAUUAAGUACUCCGCCUGGGA